GUGCGGGAGACAGGAGGGCACUAGGCGACUCAGUCCUGAGUCUUGGCCCCCAGGCCACAGCCCGGGAGAGAGUGGCAGGGACCAGUCCCCGCCGCCCCGCGUGCGAGCCGUGGGCUCCGGGGUGCGGGGCCCAGGCCCCCUCGCGGGCGGGGAUCAAGAAUGCGGACCACCACCAAUUCGGCGCUCACUCAGGUUUUCCUUUUCAACCUUUGUGGGCAGAUACAUUGGCAAGUUCGGGAACUGGGGCUUGCGGCAGAAAGGGAACACGAAUUUUUUCAGCCUGCUGUAUGCCGGACCCUGAGCUUCACAACUAGCUGCUCCUCUCUUAGCAACGGGUACUAUCGCUCCCCGUAAACAGAAGCAGAAACUGGGGCCCUAAGGAGCCUUGGCAGCAACUUGCCAACGAUGUCUCGGCUACCGUGGGCCACCCGCAGAGCCUGGCUCUUUGGGAAGGAGAAAGCAAGUUCUCGCAAAGCCUCCCCGGGUUUGCUCCCCGGAGCCCUUCCAGUACACGCCUUGGGUAACAGUGCGGGGAGUGUGGGGGACACGGCAAAACCGGCCUCAGGGGCCCCCGUAUCUUAGAGCUGGCGGCGCACAGUCCGCGGCUUGAGGGUGGAAUUUUUGUUUCGUUUUGUUUUAAAGAAAGAAGAACUCGUUUGAAUAAUCAGAGCCCAAGCUGAGCUACCGGCUGGCUCCAAGUUUCUCGGAGUUGCCCUGCUGGUGAACUUUCCCCGACCGGCUCCCUCCCGGUCCGGGAGCCGCUUAUCUGGGUCCCCGAGCGCCAGCGGGCCGCGGCGGGGCUGGGGGACCAGCGCCCGGCCCCUCCGCCCCCUGGGGAAGCCGCGCUGGCUCCGCGCGCCCAGCGGACCGCCCGCCGCGCAGGCCUGUUCCCACCCUCGGACGGAGCGAGGGGCUUAAAACCCCAGCGGAGGCAAACGGUGGCUCUAGGCUCCAAAAGCCCAAGCGUGGAUUAUGCAGACAGGAGUGCAGAGCAGACAUCUGGUCAGCAGAGGGCACACUCGUCACUGUCAAACCUCAUUUCCAGAUUUGGAGGUGACAAUGAGCUUAGACUUUCAAGAAGCAAAUGGGAAAGUGGACUUAGAGAGCAUCCAUACCAUGUUCAGGACAAUGCACCCUUCAGAGCAAUGGGUAAUGUUACACUGGCAUCUUCAUUUCCAUUUUAUUGGUUCAAUAUUUUUUUAAGCUGAAAUGUAGUCGUUAAUAUAUUUUUUAAACAGAACAACCUGUUAAAAGAUAUUUUCAGCUAGGUUGGAAAUUUCCAAGAAAAUAUAGCUUGGGGGCAG
rnacentral:lncRNA from 1 species